GGCUGCACUGGAGCGGCAUAGAGGAUAUACUCCACACAGCAAUCUGUUUAUCUAGAAUCACUCUGCCUGGAAAAAAUGGAGAAAAUCACAGCUUCAGUAUCUGAGGGGAGGACAGGUGAUCUGGCAGAAACACAUCUGAACCUGAAGCAGCAACGAUCCUCUGGCUUGGCAGUCCCUAAGGUACAGCACGAAAAGACCUGAGCCUCCCCAGAAAUCCAAGGGCAAUCCCAGCAGCAAAACCGGAGUGCUGCUGCCUAUGGAGACCAUGUGAGAAUGGAAACUUUUGAGAAAACAAGCUGUCAGCAUUGUUGCCCUUUUUGCUCAAAAAUAGAUUUACUCUGAAAUGUAAAACAAUCCCUUAACAUAAUAUUGUCGUUGAAUCCUUUUCACUCUCUUAACCAAAUCCCAUUAAAACCCCCUGGAACUUC